GGUCAACACCAAAACAGUCAACAAAAAACAGUCAGCCAUAAACAGUCAACAAGAAAACAGUCAGCAAGAAAACAGUCAACACCAAACCAGUCAACAGGAAAACGGUCAACACCAAAACAGUCAACAAAAAACAGUCAGCAAGAAAACAGUCAGCAAAAAACAGUCAGCAAGAAAACAUCAACCAUAAACAGUCAGCAAGAAAACAGUCAACAAGAAAACAGUCAACACCAAACCGGUCAAAAAGAAAACAGUCAACAAGAAAACAGUCAACAAGAAAACAGUCAACACCAAACCGGUCAAAAAGAAAACAGUCAACAAGAAAACAGUCAGCAAGAAAACGUCAACCAUAAACAGUCAGCAAGGAAACAGUCAACAAGAAAACAGUCAACAAGAAAACAGUCAACACCAAACCGGUCAAAAAGAAAACAGUCAACAAGAAAACAGUCAACCACAAUCAACAAGAAAACUGUCAACAAGAAAACGUCAACCAUAAACAGUCAGCAAGAAAACAGUCAACAAGAUAACAGUCAACCACAAUCAACAAGAAAACUGUCAACAAG